rnacentral:miRNA from 1 species
GUGAAUUAGGACUUUGAACCAAACAACUAUGUAUAUAUGUGUGUGUGUGUGUGUGUGUGUGUAUAUAUAUAUAUAUAUAUAAAUAUCUGUAUAUAUAUAUAUA